UUACGACCAUAUCACGUUGAAACACUGGUUCCUGGAUGAUCAUCGAAGUUAAGCAACGUCGAGCUGUGUUACUACCUAGAUGGUUGACCUCUUGAAAAUACCAGGUGCAGUAAG